UACAGAGGUCCCAAGCGUUGUUCGGAUUUACUGGGCGUAGAGGGUGCGUAGGUGGCAGGGUAAGUUCGGUGUGAAAGCUUCGAGCCCAACCCGGAAAUGGCAUUGAAAACUAUCCUGCUUGAGGGUCGAAGGGGAGACUGGAUUUCUCGGUGUAGCAGUGAAAUGCGUAGAUAUCGAGAGGAACACCAGUGGCGAAGGCGGGUCUCUGGACGACUCCUGACACUGAGGCACGAUUGCUAGGGGGGCAAACAGG
rnacentral:rRNA from 1 species